UGAGGAAUAUUGGUCAAUGGACGAGAGUCUGAACCAGCCAAGUAGCGUGAAGGAUGACUGCCCUAUGGGUUGUAAACUUCUUUUAUAUGGGAAUAAAGUGAGCCACGUGUGGCUUUUUGUAUGUACCAUACGAAUAAGGAUCGGCUAACUCCGUGCCAGCAGCCGCGGUAAUACGGAGGAUCCGAGCGUUAUCCGGAUUUAUUGGGUUUAAAGGGAGCGUAGGCGGACUAUUAAGUCAGCUGUGAAAGUUUGCGGCUCAACCGUAAAAUUGCAGUUGAUACUGGUCGUCUUGAGUGCAGUAGAGGUAGGCGGAAUUCGUGGUGUAGCGGUGAAAUGCUUAGAUAUCACGAAGAACUCCGAUUGCGAAGGCAGCUUACUGGACUGUAACUGACGCUGAUGCUCGAAAGUGUGGGUAUCAAACAGGAUUAGAUACCCUGGUAGUCCACACAGUAAACGAUGAAUACUCGCUGUUUGCGAUAUACGGCAAGCGGCCAAGCGAAAGCAUUAAGUAUUCCACCUGGGGAGUACGCCGGCAACGGUGAAACUCAAAGGAAUUGACGGGGGCCCGCACAAGCGGAGGAACAUGUGGUUUAAUUCGAUGAUACGCGAGGAACCUUACCCGGGCUUAAAUUGCAAAUGAAUAUAGUGGAAACAUUAUAGCCGCAAGGCAUUUGUGAAGGUGCUGCAUGGUUGUCGUCAGCUCGUGCCGUGAGGUGUCGGCUUAAGUGCCAUAACGAGCGCAACCCUUAUCUUUAGUUACUAACAGGUUAUGCUGAGGACUCUAGAGAGACUGCCGUCGUAAGAUGUGAGGAAGGUGGGGAUGACGUCAAAUCAGCACGGCCCUUACGUCCGGGGCUACACACGUGUUACAAUGGGGGGUACAGAAGGCAGCUACACAGCGAUGUGAUGCUAAUCCCAAAAGCCUCUCUCAGUUCGGAUUGGAGUCUGCAACCCGACUCCAUGAAGCUGGAUUCGCUAGUAAUCGCGCAUCAGCCACGGCGCGGUGAAUACGUUCCC
rnacentral:rRNA from 1 species